GCUGUCUGCCUUCUGGGAUCAUAUUGUGAACAGAACAAGAAAGAAGCCAAAGGUUGGGGUCUCUUCAAGAAAGUCUUGGGAUCUUGGCACCCCUGCCCUGCUCUGCCUCUGUCUGCCCUCAAGGGAGCUUUCAGCAAUUAAAAGAAUCCAAUGAAGAAGCUGCUGCAGAUGCUAAAAUGAGCACAAAUGAUCAAACUGCUGCCUAUAAAGGCAUAACUAGAAAAAUAACCUUACACAAUAUGCUUGUCAAAAGGCCUAGAGGGACUUGCUUUUUUGCAAGCAAAACUUGGGUAUCCAUUUGAGUGUGUCCACUUCGAUGCCCCCUUGCUAGUUGUGCGGGUGGGAUGGCAGCCUUUUCCCUGUGGCAGCCCCUAAAUUGUGCAACACCCUCCCUCCCCACAGGGGUCCCUGAGCCCCCUGGCCUUUGAGUGUUGGGGCAUUUUGGCUUGUUGAAUUUAUAUUCUUUUGGGUUUGGUUGGAAGGUUUUCGCUGGUUUUGUGGAUACAAUUGCUGAAGCCCAUCCUGGGACCACCUUUUAAAUAAAUGAAUACAUGGG